UCAGAUGUGGUGUAGCGGGAACACGGUCUCUUGUCAUAGAUAAUUGGUUGAGCAUUUCGGCGGCAGUCCAGGGUUCGAAUCCCUGCGUCUGAG